CAACCUUCAAUUUAAUGCUUCAUUACUUUGUAUCUUCCUGGGAAGAAGCCAUAUUUCAUGCAUGGAAGUGCAGAAAAGUUGGAUAAGUCCAAUUUUAAAGGCCUCAAAUGGAUUCAGUCCACUAUAUACCUCCUUCCUAGUAUUUGAGGGUGCAAUUUUGCUCACCAUCCAAAUAAAUGGACAUGAUGAAAUGAUUUUCGAGAUUUUAUAAAGAGAAUCCGGAUAGGAUUCUAUUCCGGAUGGACGGAGGGUUAGAAUGUUUUCUCUACCAUGCGGAGGGAAUGGGUCCGUUGUCAGAAAUUCCGUUCUAUGGAAUAGAUAUGAUAAUUCCUUGGGGUCUGUACCUCUUUUUGUUUUUUUUUUUGUUGUUGUUUGUGACAUGUACUCUAUUCUAUAAAAUAUCUUGUUUGAAUGUUUAUUCUUCUUCAUGUU